UUCACCACAUGCGUUUCUAUUCCUAGUUGUAAGUGAAUAUUGAGGUGACUUAAAUCAUUGUGUGGGUCAUCCCUUCUGUUGCUAAUCCGAUAGAUGCUAACUCUUUGGUUCUAUUGGUUGACUGUCCCUGUUAAAGGUGUGUUUUAGUGAGUGUAACAUCAGUGACAUUCACCUGAACAGGUGUGUUUGUUUUUCCAGAUCCACACGGCUCGUCUUCCUCGGCUGCAGACUCCACCCUCUCCUGGCUGGGAGUGAUGCGCCACCUGCUGGUAGUGUCCCCGUACUGCGUCGCCACCAUCCUCAUGGUGUCCGUGUUCCGACACAGGCCCACAGGAAGGAACCAGCCUGUUGUUAUGACGACGUCUCCACCCAGCGAGGAUGACGAGGGAUUGGACCAAGCGUACGAUGAUGUCAUUGCUGACGUCACCACCGAGUAUCGAUUCUAAACUUUGUUGUUGUUUUGUAUAGUUAAAUAUAUGUUUUUACGUCGUGUUUUCAGCUUCUCUGUCGUGUUCGUCCGUUCUCGUGAACUCGAUAUCUCAGGAACAUCUGGAGGGAAUGUCUUCAGAUUUAGUCACAAACACCUGGACUCAAAGGUGAACUGAUCGCUGUGGUCUUUAAUUGUUACUUUGAUGCAUUUCCUCUUGAUUGUAUUUGGCUUCACAGCUGAAAAACUACAGUUUUAUUAAAACCUCUUGCACACGA